UACCUCCAUACAUUUUCAAACAUUCAUCUAUUAAAAUGCUAUUUACCUUUAAUGUAAUAUAUCGAGGAUCAACAAAAAAUUAAGGGUUUAUUAAGAAGACCCACCUGUUGAAUAUUUCAAAACAGCUGACCGAAUGGUAGCCAUACACAGUGAAGUGAUUUCAUAUUCGGAAAACUGUUUUAAAUGUUUAUAGGAUUAACAAAACAAAUUUCUUAAUUUACUGGAAGACUCCAAAGAGGAUGAGGACUUGAGGCUCUCGGCUUAAGGACUCGGGCUCUACCAAACCAAACGAAACUUACUAGAGCCUUUUACAACAAAAGAGAAAAAUAGAUGGAACAACCAACAUGCAGCUUGGUCAAUUGACUCACUUCAAGAGGAAACCCUUUUUGACGCACUGAAUCUGCCCAGAAACCACGCCUCAAGUCCUGAGUACAAGUAGCUCCUCCGGUUCCUGCCUGUUGAAACUUGGAUGCCGUAAGGUAGUUCCGCAAAACCUCUAAUUGUCGGGCGGUGGAGAGAGGUUUCACUGCACAUUGCGGCCCUUUUCAGGGAAUACAUCAAGUUUUUUAAGAUUCGCAAUGUGAUGGGGGUGGUCGGCUGCUCACACAUUCGGCUCCCGAGGCAGAACCAAGACGAUGCCUAUGGCAACCGCAAGAGACUCUUGUCAAUGAACAUCCAGGCUGUCUCAGAUGCGCAAUUAAGCAUUAUUUGACACUAUUUUCGACAACAGUCGAAUAAAACCCCGAUGGGAAGGCGGCCAUGAUGAUCCCCAUUAUAAAACCCACCGCGGAGACACAAAAUCGUCAUAAUGAACGCAAGCAUCGGCUUACAAAGUCAUCUCCAGAUGUUUUGAAAUCUGGAGGCAGAGGUUUCGCCUUGGAAUCCGUAUUGAUACUGCGAAAAUCGUAAUAUUUGGCUGUGCGGUCCUUCAAAACAUAUUAAUACAGGAAAAGGACUCAUUACCCCAAGCUUUUCUUGUCAUGGGCAUUUCUUUCGUUUUUUUUGACAAUGCGGAAAUCAAUAAGAAAUUGGAUGUCGCCGAUAAAACUCAUAGAAAAUAUAAUUAGUAAAUACUUUGAGAGCUAAUGUACAUUUUGAGAAUUUCGUCUACUUUUUGAUACUAAUCUAGACCAAAACUGUGAUAAAUACAGCUCAUGAAUCUUUUGAAGAGUCCUGCAAAUAAUAAUAACAUUAAACAUUUCAUUUGACAUACGAAA